CUUAUUUAAAGGAACACACUGACUUUCUAGGACUUUAGCUUAUUCACCGUUACCCCCAGAGUUAGACAAGUCGAUACAUACCCUCUCAUCUCCGUGCGUUCUGUGGAGCUGUGAUGGCUCUCAGCGGCA